UCUCUACCAUACACUUCCGUAUCUUUUGAUGGAGAAGGGAAAGCAUUUAAGAGAGGCACGACGCCAUCAUGUCCAUAAGGUUAUCCCCAACAAUGGUUUUAAAGGAGAGUUUUAAGGGAAAAGUAGGGAAAAAAUAAUUCUAGAAAAGAGAAAAAAACGAAGAGCUCCUCUUAAUUAGUAUACUCGAUUUCGGAUAAGAGCCUGUGACGUGUCAGCGCGUGGUUGGAUAAAGAGUUUUAUUCAGAGCAAUUUUUUUUUUGGGGUCUUUGAUGUUCUUUCUCUUCCUCUCUCUCUCGCUCUGUCGCGAAUCUCUCAAUCGGAGAUUGAAUCGGACGAGAUUGAAGUCGAUAGCUACAAGAUGAGAGACGGAGAGGCCAACACUAUCAUCAUAAGCAAGUGGUAUUGAAAGAAUACGUUAGUGGUUUCCCUAGGGAAUCCGAUUACAAUCUCACCACCUCCACCGUCGAAUUUAAGGUUCUGGGAGGUUCUAACUCGGUUCUGGUCAAGAAUCUCUACUUGUCAUGUGAUCCGAUGAUAAUGUUUUGUGUGUGUGUGUUGGAUCGUUUUUGUAACUUAUAUCUGGAUGCAUCUUGUUAGUCAAUAAACUAGAUAAUUGUAUGUUAUAUAUAAAUUGUCUUAUAUUUUAGAUUGGUGUUCUUGAAGAUGCUUUUGUCAGCACUUGUUAUAUCUGUUGGAAUCAACUCUUGCCUAUGUGUAUUGUUCUUCAUACUCUACUCUGUAUCAAGGAAGCAGCAACUACGAGAUUUUUUUACCUUGUCGUCUCGCAGCUGGGACGUCUAAACGUAGACGUAACAAAGUGGCGAGGUAUAUACCUUCUGUUAAAUGGAUUUGGAAAUCAUGGAGCGGUUUCGCUUAGCUUGUGCUCUGGUGGGGAGUGCUUCAUCUCCGGUUCUCUUGAUCGAACUGUUUUGCUUUAGGAUCAAAGGGUCGAGAAAUGCCAGGGUCUCUUACGAGUCCAAGGAAGGCCUGCUGCAGCUUAUGAUGAUCAAGGCAGCCUGAUGGACUAUAUUCACUUUCCUUGUUAUAAAGGAGCUGCAAUUUUGUAUAAGUUUUGCAGGUCACAGAGUCUGCUUUGUCUCUGAGAGAUGGAUUGAAGAGUGAAGAAGAAGACUUAAGCAGACUGCUUAAGGGUUUGGUAUGUCUCUCUCUCUCUCUCAAUUCAAUCUGGUCACCGCCUCUGCAUUCCUACUUGUGGAAUUCUCGCCAAUGAUUUGUUUUAAGCUUGCUUAUGGAGCGAGGUGGUUCCGGGGAAAGGUACAUUUGAUCAUUACAACAUGAUGACAAAGUCUCCAUCUCAUUUUGGAAACCAAUUAUUUGUUUUAAAGUGCAGAACCAACAGAGAUGCCUCGAUAGAUGGGGAUGAAGGCGAAACAAGCAGUACAGCUACUCAAAGUAUGAAUGUGGAACACUUUCAAAACAACAACACCAAGCUGCUCAGCGAGUGCACGCGUAUAUGGUCUGACUAUGAGCAAAAUGUAUAUGUACUCUCAAAACUGGAGUGGUGUAAUCAUUUUGAGAUUGAUGGGUGAGCUUUGGGUCAAACUAAGAUUGAUACCAACACAGCCUUGGGUGGGAGCUGUAUCAUGUUCGUUUGUAUCACUUCCAAAGGUCACACUUCAACUUGCAACAUUCAUAUUGUUUAAUCUAUUGGGUAUGCAUUAAUCUUUCUCCUAUGUUGCAUCUCCAUGAUAUUGUUUGUGCUGCUUAUUUCAUAUACAAUGAAGAGACUUUUGUUCUUACUGUAAUUCACACAUUUUUA